AAAAAACUGGCAGCGUGCCUAACAUGCAAGUCGAACGGCACACUUCGGUGCUGAGGGUCCAGCCGCUGAGUUCGAUAUGUCGUGACCUGCCUUCGAGCGUGAGAUAACUGCCCUAUAUGGUGGCUAAUGCCACAGAUGUCGUUUCCUCGGGGAAGUGACUGAUCCGAUUACGGUUCCACGAGGGGCCUGCGUCCAAUUAGCUAUUUGGUGGGGUAACAGCCUACCACGGAGACGAUAGGUAGCUGGUCAGAGACGAUGAUCAUCCAGACUGGGACUGCGAGACGGCCCGGACACCUACCGGAGGCAACCUUUAAGACUUUUGGGCCUUGUACGAAAGCCUGACCCGGGGACUCCUCGUGGGUGAGGAAAGCCUUCAGGUCGUAACGCCCUUUUCCCGAAGAAGAUCAUGACGGUUACCUGGGGAUUCUACACGGGAUAACUAAAUGCAAGGAGCCCCGGAAAG
rnacentral:rRNA from 1 species